AUUAUUGUUGACAUUACGAAGGACAUUGCUCUAUGCGUUCUUGGUAUAUAAGCAGGACGUCCUUUAUAUUUUCAACAUUUAACCGAAGUUAAAAGCCAAAGGAAUAUGAGAGUAUUGUUGGUCCUAGUUAUGGUUGCGGCCUUGGCGGCUGCUGCUUACGCCGUGCCAAUUCUAGACGACGUCACCAAGACCGUCUCCGGCGUCGUACCCGUUUAAGCUUUGAUCGACCGAAAACCACGUCGACAACAUACCAGCAACAAGUUUUUAUUCACAAUUCGGAUAUACUUAAAAUUGUAUAAAACAUAAAAACUAAAAAUUCGUUUUGGAAUCAAUAUGGUACAGAAUAAACGUUAAAACGCAAAUGUCA